rnacentral:rRNA from 1 species
AUGAUCCUAAAGGUCAGCAUGGAAGACCUUUCGUAUGAUUUGAAGAAUUGUUUCUUACACUGUGCAUUAUCCCAAGAAGAUUAUGUUGUAAAGAGGAAAAGGACAGUGAGGCAAUGGAUUGCAGCAGGGUUUAUCAGGGAAAAGGAAGAGAACAGAACAUUGGAGGAAGUGGCAGAAGGAUACUUGGCCGAGCUUGUGAACCGAAGCCUACUGCAGGUAGUGAAGAGGAAUCAUUUCGGACGACUGAAACAUUGUCGGAUGCAUGAUGUCAUACGCCUUCUUGCCCUCAACAAAGCCAAGGAGGAAUGCUUUGGUAAAGUUUAUGAUGGCUCUGCUGCUACUGGGGCAUUCUCUGUUGAGGGUGCACGUCGUAUAUCGGUACAGGGGGGAAACGUUGAACAAUUGAGCCGGUCUGGUGCAACACAGCUCCGUGCACUCCUCGUAUUUGAGAGGUGUAUCGAUAUUGAUUUGCUGAAGCCUAUCCUAACAUCUUCGAAUCUGCUGUCUAUGUUGGAUCUGCAAGGUACUCGUAUUAAAAUGCUGCCCGAUGAGGUAUUCAACUUGUUUAAUCUGCGUUAUUUGGGUCUUCGAGGUACGGAGAUCGAAAGCCUGCCUGAAGCAGUGGGGAGGUUACAAAACUUGGAAGUCUUGGAUGCUUGGGACUCUAAGCUGACAUAUUUGCCAAAAAAUGUUGUAAAACCUCAGAAGUUGAGAUACCUGUACAUAUAUGUCCAUGGUGCAUUCGAAAUUGGAGUCAAGGUCCCUAAUGACAUACAACAUUUGGUAGGACUGCGGGCUCUUCAGUGUGUCAAAGCCACUCCGAAGUUUCUCCGUGAAGUUGCAGCUCUGACAGAGCUAAGGUCAUUCAGUGCCUACCUCGUGAGAACAGAACACUCUGCUGACUUGAGCAACGCUAUCAUCAAAAUGAGCCAUCUUGUUCAUCUCGUACUUGUCACUGAUGCUGACGAUGAGGUGCUGCAGCUGGAAGGGCUAUAUUUACCUCCAACCCUUUCUUGGCUUGGUUUAGCAGGGCAGCUAGAAAAAACAUGGAUGCAUCAGCAUUUCUCUUUUUGGUCACACCUUAAUAGCCUUACUCGGUUGGAGCUAUCAUUCUCCAGUAUUGAUGAGCAAAACUUUUCCUGUCUGUUUGUGUUACAUGGUCUGCUCUUUCUUGUGCUACUGAAGGCCUUUGAAGGGAAGCGCUUGGAUUUUUACGCAGGGUCAUUUCCGAAACUUAAGCAUCUAUGGGUAUGGGGCGCGACACACCUCAACCAAGUGGGAAUAGAGGAGGGUGCGAUGCAAAACCUCGUCGAGCUAUUCUUCAUAGACUGUCCCGAGCUAAAGAUUCUUCCUGAUGGUAUCAAACACCUUGCAGCCCUUGAGAAAUUACUUCUGAAAGACACGUCAGAAGAGCUGGUAGAGAAGCUUCGCAGAAGAGAGAUUCAGAUGAAUGCAGCAAAGAUUUAA